GACGAACGCUGGCGGCGUGCUUAACACAUGCAAGUCGAACGGAAAGGCCCUGCUUUUGUGGGGUGCUCGAGUGGCGAACGGGUGAGUAACACGUGAGUAACCUGCCCUUGACUUUGGGAUAACUUCAGGAAACUGGGGCUAAUACCGGAUAGGAGCUCCUGCUGCAUGGUGGGGGUUGGAAAGUUUCGGCGGUUGGGGAUGGACUCGCGGCUUAUCAGCUUGUUGGUGGGGUAGUGGCUUACCAAGGCUUUGACGGGUAGCUGGCCUGAGAGGGUGACCGGCCACAUUGGGACUGAGAUACGGCCCAGACUCCUACGGGAGGCAGCAGUGGGGAAUAUUGCACAAUGGGCGGAAGCCUGAUGCAGCAACGCCGCGUGCGGGAUGACGGCCUUCGGGUUGUAAACCGCUUUCGCCUGUGACGAAGCGUGAGUGACGGUAAUGGGUAAAGAAGCACCGGCUAACUACG
rnacentral:rRNA from 1 species